UACAGAGGGUGCAAGCGUUAAUCGGAGUUACUGGGCGUAAAGGGCGCGUAGGUGGUUAUUUAAGUUUGAUGUGAAAUCCCUGGGCUUAACCUAGGAACUGCAUUGAAAACUGGAUAACUGGAGUACUGUAGAGGGUAGUGGAAUUUCCGGUGUAGCGGUGAAAUGCGUAGAGAUCGGAAGGAACACCAGUGGCGAAGGCGGCUACCUGGACAGAUACUGACACUGAGGCGCGAGAGCGCGGGGAGCAAACAGG
rnacentral:rRNA from 1 species